UCCCUCAUAGCUCAGUCGGUAAAGAAUCUGCCUGCAGUGCAGGAGACCCAGGUUCAAUCCCUGGGUCGGGAA
rnacentral:tRNA from 1 species